GCAGACGGCGGAGAGCUGGGAUGGAGCGCGCCUUGGCCCGCUGGCCUUGGCUGCAGCUCCUCGGGAGAGCCGGGGCGCCCACGCGAGAACCUCCCUACCUGAGGACGCUGGGAACACGGAUUCCUGGAUCCCACCAGCCUACGAAGAAAGCCACGGGUGGCGACCCCUGGGACCAGGACGACCAAGGAGGAGGACGACCAGAACUGACCAGCCAGCCCCCUUGGCUAAAGGCUUAGACCUGUGCCCUAGUGAGGGGGCAUUGGUCGCCAACCCCUGACCUUUGCUAUGCUUCUGCCUUGUUGCUCUGAUACUUGCCUCUAUGUCUCUGCCUGUGUUAACCUGCCAGCGCCCUGGAGGGUUGCCAUCCCCAGGGAGGUGUCAGUCUUUCUCGCUCCACUUGUUGUCGCCCGAAUGACGUCCUGAACGGAAGGGUCCCUUUGGGAACGUCUCGGGAGGCCGACCUGGGCCAAGGGCACAACCAGCAUCUCACUGGCAAUUCCAAGGCCCUGGGUGGGCUUCUGGAAUGAGCAUGAGCCCCGACGUCAUGCCACGGAACUGCCAGGGGCACCCCCCCUCCUUUGAGCUCUCCCUGUCCCUCCUGGGGGGACAGGGACGAGAAGAGCAGUCUCCCAGGGGGUUGUGAGUAUUGAAUGAGAUGAAGUCGCCUCGGGCAGGGCCAGGCAUAGAGGAGGCAGUCGGCAAAUGUUUGUUGAUAAAGUUUGGCCGAUCAGUCCAGCCCCGGCCCGCUCCCGUGUCUCACCGUCUCAUUUAUUCUCCCACAGCACUCCGGAUGGCCCCUGGCCACGGGGCUCUGCCCGCACCAGGUCUCCUUCUGGAGUUGGGGUCUGUGAGCUGGACCCCUCCCUCCGUGACGCCUUCCUCCCUCCUCUGCGCCCCCAGUCGUUGGCUGGGGCCUGUCCAGGGCAAAGGGCAGAUGACUGGGGGACCUCCAGGGAGCGUUGCAGGCUCUGCCAAGGCCUGGCUGCCCACCUGUUCUCUACCUGGCGGCUCCUUCCCUGCCUCCCUCCCCCCAGCCAGGGUGCCUGCCCACUUGGAGCUCUGCUUGCCCGGCCCGCCCCUCUGUGCCCCCGUCACUGGGCUCAGGAUCUUCUGGGUCCUGGCUGUGCCGCCCUCUGCCUAACAGAAAUCCAAGCCGCAGGUCGGCCUGUCCUCGACGCACUGGCAGCGAGCGUCGGCUGAAGAACCGGAUGGAAGAGGCGGGAGAGUCACCACGGACCGGCGUUCCUUCAGGUCGGUCGCCUGGCGUCUUCGGGCUGCGACUCCUUCCCGGAUCGGGCUGAAGCCAUCAUCUGUGUCCUCCGUCGGAAGGGACCUCAGACAUGUGGCUCCUGCACCCUCCAGCUCUGAAAUCGGCAGGCUAGGAUGCAAGUGGCCUUGCUGGGGGGCCCUUCCAAGGGCCGAGGGACCAGCCUCUCGAACGGGCUCGGCGCUCCAGUGACCUUCGCGUCCCCCUCCUCCUUGAAUUGUCUGGAAAACAGAAUGGACAGAUUUUCUGUCUUCAAAGUUUCCGGCUAAACCUCUUCAAAGUUCUUUAUUGUUUGGGACUGAGACACUCAGCAGUGCUAAUGGGUAGUUCCUUUUGUAUUUGCCCUGAAAGGCCAAAAUAUUUUUAUAUCGCUCCAGACAAAGCCGUCUAUUUUAAGAUGAACUCUGUCCGUCGUUGGCCACCGGGGAGACGGUGUCCGCCGUGUGUGUGUCUGUGUGCUCUCGGGUCUUGAAACGGGUUUCUCCUGGGGAUGGCCAUUCACAGGGGUCCAGGGGGAAGCGCCUGCCCCCCCGAAGGGGGCCUGGGGAAGCGGGGACUGGGGCAUCCCGCCCUAAUUGCAGAUCUGCCACCCCCACCCACCCCCACCCCCUCUGUGUAGGAUAUGAGCCCCUGGGGCGGUGGGGGCGGGUUCUGGCUGCACUAACAUUUCCUGUGCCUGCGCCUGCACCUGCCAUGCGUAUGUGUUGGGGACCGUGGGUUGUGUGCACCUGGGUGGUUAAUUCAGUGGGAGGAGCUGGGAGGUCAGAGAUACUGUGAAGGUUCUAUUCUGGUUGGGAGGUCACGGCUGGGAGGUGUGACCUGGUCCAAACAAGCGAAUGGAUGCAUCCGUGGAUGAAAGCAUGCAGGAAUGAGCAAACAGAGAAACAGGGAGAGAAGGAAUCAAGCCCGGGUGAGAGUGUGCCCUGAGUGAGAGCCCACCGAUGCCCAGGACGUCAGUGGUUGUGUCAGGAAGUCGGGACUCGGGAUAGACAUAGGGCCACGUCGGAAGCAAGGUCAGGUCAUCGUGGGCGGAGCGACCCGUGAACUUUGGGUAUCGGGCACCUGAAGUUUGUCAUUAAAGGAUAAAACCUAGAUGGAAGAAAGAAUGAGUUAGAGGUGGACACGCGUAAACCAGGGGUGACAAUGAGAUGAUGAGGCCCAGCGGGGGAGACGGUGCAGGAGAGGGAAGGAGUGACUGAAAGGGGGAGGCACACGGAGAGAGCCCCCAAAAUGAGUAUUUUUAAAAUUAGGGGGCGAGGACAUCUCUAUGGAGGACAGGGUCACGUGAUUAUGAGCCAAGCAUUAGGAUGACUCCAAAUGCAUACUCCCGGCACAAAAAAGGAAAGAACCUGCAGACGGAGAGUUCUGGAAAAAGAUGAGCUGGAAAAGGACCCAGGGAACCAACGAUGAGGGUUAACUUUAGCCUAAAGUUUUCCGACUCUGGGCCCGUGUAGAUAAGUAAAUGCCCAAACGAAAGAAAGCAGAGGGACCACCAAAGGGAUGAGUGAGCAGCGGACAUCCCUGGGCCCAGAUGGGAGCAUUGGCAGGAGGGGCUUCGAGUCAUCUGCUCCCGGGCACUGAGGUUCCACGAAAGGAUUAAAAAGAGAGAGAAUGGAGUUCCCGUCGUGGCGCAGUGGUUAACGAAUCCGACUAGGAACCAUGAGGUUGCAGGUUCGGUCCCUGCCCUUGCUCAGUGGGUUAAGGAUCCGGUGUUGCCGUGAGCUGUGGUGUAGGUUGCAGAUGCGGCUCGGAUCCCGUGUUGCUGUGGCUCUGGCAUAGGGUGGUGGCUAUAGCUCCCAUUAGACCCCUAGCCUGGGAACCUCCAUAUACCGCGGGAGUGGCCCAAAGAAAUGGCAAAAAGACAAAAAAAGAGAGAGAGAGGGAGACAGAGUUCNGAUGUCUAACUCCAAAUCAUGACAUUGGGAGGAAAAAGGAACAGGUGUUAAGUAGAGGAAUGCAUUCGUGGGUGAGUACAUACACAUAUUAAAAAAGGCAGGGCUCUGGGAGUAGGGGUCAGAGGCUGUCAUGAAUCCAGGAUGCGGCUGGUCCAAUUCUAAAGCCAUAAUAGCGUCACAAAAUAAUAGGCAUCAAAAUACACAAGU
rnacentral:lncRNA from 1 species